UACGUAGGGGGCAAGCGUUGUCCGGAUUUAUUGGGCGUAAAGAGCGUGUAGGCGGCCAUACAGGUCCGUUGUGAAAACUGGAGGCUUAACCUCCAGACGUCGAUGGAAACCGUAUGGCUAGAGUCCGGAAGAGGAGAGUGGAAUUCCUGGUGUAGCGGUGAAAUGCGCAGAUAUCAGGAAGAACACCCGUGGCGAAGGCGGCUCUCUGGGACGGUACUGACGCUGAGACGCGAGAGCGUGGGGAGCGAACAGG
rnacentral:rRNA from 1 species